GGGCGAUUAGCUCAGUUGGCUAGAGCGCCGCCCUUACAAGGCGGAAGUCGGCGGUUCGAGCCCGUCAUCGCCCA
rnacentral:tRNA from 1 species